rnacentral:lncRNA from 1 species
CUUCCCAAGUGAGAAGCAGCAGGGUGGUGCAAGAUUUCAUCAUGCUUCUCAGAAUGACAUGCAAUUUAAGUCAUAUAAAUUGUUUAUUUCUGGAAUUUUUUAUUUAAUAUUUUUGUACAGCAGUUGACUGAGGUUGAAGGAAAAUUACCCUGGAUGGAAGAUCAGAGGUAUAGAAAGAAAUGGAGAGCAAAGAAAGAGAUGCUGUGGUGUGAAGUUGGGGUGUGUGGUACUCUUGAAGGCAUCAGGCUGAGGUGAAAGGAGAAAACCAAAGAACAAAGGUAACAUUCUAAGGAUGGCUGAAUGGACAGAUGAAAAGACUGUGCUGGAUUAACCAAUCCUAAUGUGUCCGGAAUUGGUGGGUUCUUGGUUUCACUGACUUCAAGAAUGAAGCCGCGGACCCUCUCCGUCAGUGUUACAGUUCUUAAAGGCGGCGUGUCCGGAGUUUGUUCCUCCUGAUGUUCAGAUGUGUUCGGAGUUUCUUCCUUCUGGUGGGUUCGUGGUCUCGCUGGCUCAGGAGUGAAGCUGCAGACCUUCGCGGUGAGUGUUACAGCUCUUAAGGCAGCGCAUCUGGAGUUGUUCCUUCCUCCCGGUGGGCUCAUGGUCUCGCUGGCUUCAGGAGUGAAGCUGCAAACCUUCGCGGUGAGUGUUAUAGCUCAUAAAAGCAGUGUGGACCCAAAGAGUGAGCAGUAGCAAGAUUUAUUGCAAAGAGUGAAAGAACAAAGCUUCCACAAUGUGGAAGGGGACCGGAGCAGGUUGCCACUGCUGUCUGGGGCAGCCUGCUUUUAUUCUCUUUUCUGGCCCCACCCACAUCCUGCUAAUUGGUAAAGCCGAGUGGUCUGUUUUGACAGGGUGCUGAUUGGUGCGUUUACAAUCCCUGAGCUAGACACAGGGUGCUGAUCGGUGUGUUUACAAACCUUGAGCUAGAUACAGAGUGCCAAUUGGUGUAUUUACAAUCCCUGAGCUAGACAUAAAGGUU